AGAAUGACCACUGCCUGUCAGAAAAAAUGUGUACCACCCAAGUAUAACGAAGCAGAUUUAUCUAAAGGUGAAUCAGUGUGUUUAGACAGAUGUGUAUCCAAGUACUUAGAAAUGCACGAUAAUAUAGGAAAAAAAUUGACAUCCAUGUCACAACAAGACGAGGCUACUGUGAAGAAAAUCCAGGAUCAAAUGCAGCCCCAAAAAUCUUAACAUAAAAACUGUUUUAAUAGUUGUGAUAUUACAAUUAAAGUAUUUAUACAAUGAAGAAAUGAACAAGAGACUAACAGUAGAAAGUGUUAUCACUACAAGGAAUAGCAGACCAUUAUUAAAAGAUAAAUGGACUCGCUGUCAUCAGCUGUUCUUCUGUCAUAGUCAUUGAUUGCAAAGGUGGCGUUGAGUUGACUACAUACAUUCGUGAUCAGUUGUCAAUGUUACAAAAAAUACACUAGACAAUCAAUAUAAAAUUUAUUAUAUUAUUUUAUUUUUUUUAUUUUUUAUUAACUAAAUUUAGGACAUUUUUCUAGUAAAAAUUUCAUUUUACUGGUUGAAAUUUUCAUUGGGUUUCUUUGACCAUGAUAACCUAAGCCAACUGUGGUAAAUAAGUGCUAGCAUGGCUAGAUGAGAUAUUGUCACACUCAGUCUCUUAGUUUUUAUUGAAUGGAUCAGUCUAAACAUUCGAACGUGACCACAGAUGACUAAUCCAGUAUGCUAACAAUGAUUUAGAUUUUCAUAGCCUCAAAAAAAUAAAUGUAGAUUCUUAUAGUCCUCUCUUCCCCCCAAAAAUAAAGUGUUAGCAUGUCUAAUGGGACAUUGCAUAAUAAUACUUUUUUUUUUCAAAUGCAAAAUUUUAAGUCUUCUUGCUGUUUUUGUGAUUUUUUUAGUUUUCUAACUUAAAGUAUAAAUAUCUUCAACUUGACUUCUUCAGCCUCGAAAGCACAACUAUUGUAGAUCACAUUUGUUAUUUCAAAACUGAAUGAGUAUUGAUCAUGUUGAUCAACUAAAUAUUUGGUGUUAUAUAUUUCUAAAUUUGAGCAAUUCUGUACUAUGACUCUAACAAUUUUCAAUGGUCUCUGUUGUUUGAUUACAUGUAUAUUGUUGUGAUUGAAAUAAGUUUUUUAUAUAUCAAGAUGUGUUGUAACUUGAUGAGUAAAUAUUUUUUUUAAAUUUAUAUUACUUUUGUUCUUUUUUGUAUCAGGACACAAUGUUAAAGUUAACCACCUCAUGCAGUGUUAGUUUUCAUUAAUGUCAUGUGUUCAAUAAAUUGUGUUUACAUGUAUAUUUUUCAUGAGUCAUUGCUUAAAUAUCCCAGUCAGAAUAUUUCUAAUUUA
rnacentral:lncRNA from 1 species